AUGCUUGCUCCGGCAGGUCGGUUGGCGCUUACACAAUCUGUGUUAAUGGCGAUGCCUAUGCAUUUUCUCUCUGUUUUGCCGUUGCCGGCAUGGGCGCUGGAUAUCAUCAACAGAGGAUGUAGGGGAUUCAUUUGGAAAGGGGAAAAUGAGAUUAGUGGUGGUCAUUGCCUCCUGCCUUGGGCUAGAGUGUGUAUGCCAAAGGAGUGUGGAGGCUUGGGCAUUCUGAACUUGAAGUGGUUUGGCUUGGCUUUGCGUUGCCGAUGGCCUUGGCUGCAUUGGGACCCAGAAGAGCGACUGUGGCACAAGUUGCCUGAUGGAUAG
rnacentral:rRNA from 1 species